GGAUGCGAUCAUACCAGCACUAAUGCCCGGAUCCAUCAGAACUCCGAAUAAGCCGUGUUGCGGCGAGGUAGUACUAGGAUGGUGACCCCCUGGGAAGUCCUCGUGUUGCAUCCC
rnacentral:rRNA from 1 species